rnacentral:lncRNA from 1 species
CUAUAGGAAUUAUUUGGGAUUGGUUAGGAUUUGGUUUAUGAUUUAAUUUAGGGUUUUGGAUUGAUUUAAGGUUUGAUUAGGAUUAGGAUUUUUUUAGGAUUUGAUUAAGAUUUGAUUAAGAUUUGAUUAGGAUUUGUUUAGGAUUUGAUUAGGAUUUGAUUAGGAUUUGAUUAAGAUUUGACAAGAUUUAUUUAAGGUUUGUCUAGGAUUUGAGAAGGAUUUGACCAAGGUUUGACUAAGAUUUGAUUAAGAUUUGAUUAUAUUUUGACUACAAUUUAAUUAA